UUAUCAUUGCCACAACGCCAGAUGUACAUGUUUAUCGAAAGAUAAAUGUUGCAAACCAGCCUGAGAAAUCAAGUGGCAGCGCAGUUCUCAGAGGUGUUGUGAAGAUAGAAUGGACAAGAGAGUAACAUGUGAUGUCUUGAACAAUUUACGAUCUCCAGGAGUGAAAGGGAUGCCAGGUUCAAUGUAUGCAGAUUUUAAAAAUGACGUCCGGAUAUUUUUAAAGAAAUUGCCAGAAAAUAUCUAAGGUAUUUGCCUGGCCAACCUUUGGGGAAAAGUGGUUAUGAAGCCAGAGAGCCACCACCAAUAAGCCCUCUGUCUAGUGGCAGCUCCAUGGAUUUCCUGAGAAGAUGGAACAACUAGGAGAACUCCACCCAAAGAUCUUAACUGGUGAGCAAGACUACACAGGACAAGGCAAUCCAUCAGAUAUUUAUGACACAAAUCAUUAAGAGCUUUAUAGAGACAAUUUUUGUAUAAUUUGUUUCCUUAUAAUAUAGUUUUAUUGUCCUACAAUUUCCAUCGGCCUUGACCAUUGUGCAGGGAAAAUUUAACUAAUAACUGAAAACUAAUAAAAGACUUCACAUUCCCAGUCUCUACACCAAAAUUUGGGAGACUGCCCUGUCUGAUUUCUCCAACUAAGAAAGAUGUAUGGUAGCCAUAUGUGAGAGAGCGAAAGAUUUGAAAGAGCACAUGAGUGUUACAUGGCUAUAUUAUAGAGAUUUCCCAACACAUGUGCCUCUGAUGUUUCAGCAGAUGUAUGAAUAUACAAAAACAGAUCUACUACAUACAACGGGGAAUCUCAGCUGGCCAACCGUGAUCCCUCGUUAUCGGCAAGUUCUGUGUGCAGACAACAAAUCUCUUACAGCUUUCACAGAAGAAAACGUGGAGGGGAAAAAACCGCUUGGCAUGAUCUUGGCCAAAAGAGCAGAAUCCUUAAUUAACGUGUGUCUCCUUGAAAGAUGCCUUCCUCUCAAAACAAACCACAUGUUGGUCUGAUGUCAUCCCAGUUCAUGGAAAGAAAAUGCCUUUCCCAGUUGUCAGUAUGCCUCUCCCACUGUGAACCACAAUUCACCUUCACCUGCAUCCCAGGUAGGUCAAUUAAAGGAAUGACACUCUUUUGUUUAAAUUUUUCAGAACACAUUGGAGUAUCUGUAAUAGACUGGAAAAUGCACUCUGAUUGAC
rnacentral:lncRNA from 1 species